rnacentral:rRNA from 1 species
UAAUCACUUGUCUCCUAAAUAGAGACUUGUAUGAACGGCCCCAUGAGGGCCCAACUGUCUCCCUUGGCCACUCAAUGAACCUGAUCCCCCAGUACAAAAGCUGGGAUAACCACAUAAGACGAGAAGACCCCGUGGAGCUUAAGAUAAACCACCACACCCCUUGGUGCCUCUCUUCAGUUGGGGCGACUACGGAAAAAAACAAAACUUCCACGCACGCAAAUUACAGCAGCCCACAGGCCAAUGUAAUAAUUAACUGACCCAGUACAACUGAUUAACGAACCAAGUUACCCCGGGGAUAACAGCGCCAUCCUCUUAUAGAGCCCCUAUCGCCAAGAGGGUUUACGACCUCGAUGUUGGAUCAGGACCCCCAAGUGGUGCAGCCGCUACUAAUGGUUCGUUUGUUCAACGAUUAA